rnacentral:tRNA from 2 species
GGAGAGGUGACCGAGUGGUCGAAGGUGCACGACUGGAAAUCGUGUGUAGCGUUUAUAGCGCUACCGUGGGUUCGAAUCCCACUCUCUCCGCCA